AAUCCUAUAGCUCAGUUGGUAGAGCGCUACCCUGAUAAGGUAGAAGUCGGUGAUUCGAGUUCACCUGGGAUUA
rnacentral:tRNA from 1 species